rnacentral:lncRNA from 1 species
CAUCUUAAAGACACCUGCACAGCAACAUCCAGACUGGUGUUUGACCAGAUAACUGGGUGGACACAGACAUUAAGCUUCACAAGGCCUCACCUGAACCGGGUUCCAAGGGGUCAUCUCCAUAGCAGAGGCUGACCCCUGGCAACUUGAACACUGGUAGCCCACGCCCAGGCAGUGGUCCUCCGGCCUGAAGAUCUUGUGAGCUGGCGACGAGCCUGGGGCUCUGAUGGGUGGAACUGCCAUCCACUGGAAGAGGCAGGUGCCGCCCACUCCCCAGGCUGAGGAAGGGGGCGAGGAGCUGUCUGUGCCGGGGUCCGCCAAGACCCCCCCCGCCAGGAACUCCACGUGGGCUUCCUAGAAGCUGCCGCUGAUCUGGACCCAGUGCGGCUGGGAUGGGUGGCUGGUGAGGAAACACAGCCCGAGAGAGGGGGUCCUUCGUCCUUGCCAUCGGGGUGCCAGGCUGUGGAUGGGACUGCAAUAGGUUAAAGGGGCCUCAGGUUCUCUGCUGCCCCUCUUGCCAGGAGGGAGAGGGAUCCCCUGCCUUUGAGUCUGUGACCUUUGACCUCGCUUGUCCGAAGGGAUGCAGCAGAAGUGUCACGUGUCUGUUCCCAGGGAGACCCGGGAGCAGCCUUACAGUUGAGCUCCUGGACCCCAGACCCAGGGUAAGGCUGGGCUGGCCUGCUAGAGAGAGGCCACGUGGGGCAGGGGCCCUGGUGGGUGAGUCCCCUGUGGGGAGGGCGUGACAACUGAGGCGCUCUGGCAGAAGUCAGCCCCCAGCCCCCAGAAGGACGCGAUCCCCCGCGAAACAGCAGGGGCCCCCAUCAGACCACAGCCAGGCGCCUGCCAUGUCCUGGAGGGGUUUGUUACACAGCAGUAAUUGAAGCACGUACACAGGACAACAUGGCCAGUGGCAAGAUUAAAGAAAUGUGUUCCUGGGAACAUUCUGCCCUCAAAAGGGGAAUAAAGACUUGAUAAAAGAAAAGGACCCUCUCAUGACUUGCUUUUUUUUUUUUUAAAUACAGUUUUGAAAGUUUAUGCUCCCUUUACAGUUAUUACGAGGUAUUGGCUCUAGUCCCUGUGUUGUACAAUACGUCUGAUAACUUGUACUUCCUGCUCCCCCACCUCGAUAUGGGACCCUCCCACUGGUAACCACUAAUUUGUUUUCUGUAUCUGUGAAUGUUGCUGCAAAUGGCAUGACUUAAUUCUUUUUAAUGGCUGUAUAGUAUUCCAUGGUAUCUACACACCCUAUCUUCCUUAUCCAUUCAUCUGUUGAUGGACACUUAAGUUGCUGCCGUGUCUUGGCAGUUGUAAAUAAUGCUGCUGUGAACGUUGGGGUUCUUGAAUCUCUUCAAAUAUGAACACGUGGGCUUCCAAGUGUUCCUAUUUUUUUUUCCAGAUAUAUACUCAGGAGUGGAACUGCUGGGUCAUAUGAUAGUUCUAUUUUUUUUUUUUAAUCUCCGUACUGUUUUCCACAGUGGCUGCACAGUUUAUAUUCCCACCAGCAGUGCAGGAGGGUCCCCUUCUCUCCACACCCUCUCCAGCAUUUGCUAUUUGUGUUCUUUUUGAUAAGGGCCCUUCUGACCUGUGUGAGGUGAUAUUUCAUUGUGGUUUAAAUUUUUUUUUGUUGUUAAAUUUUUUUGGUGAAAGUAUAGUUGAUGUACACUACCUCGCUAAUUUCUGCAGCACAGCAAAGUGACUCAGUCACACGUCUGUGUACAUUGUGGUUUUGAUUUGCGUGUCCCUGAUAAUUAGUGACGCUGAGCAUCUUAUCAUGUGCCCGUUGGCCACUCGUGACUUACUUUGAUCUUAACUAUGCAGAGAAUGGGGAAGGGUCCAAUGGUUGGAGAAACAGAUUUGGUGGCACAGGGGUCUCUGGAUGCUGGAAACCGUCUCAUCUUUGCCAUUGCCGUGACACUUUGGGCCGUACAGUCUCCAAUCUGUGGCUUGGGGCUCUCGGAGCCGCUAAAGGGGUGCGGUUGGUCCUGCAGGCAGAGCUUGGGUGGCCACCUGAAAAGUGGCUGAAACGAGUGCCCCGUAGGAGCCCUGCCAGCCUCUACAUGGUGCCAGCAGGGAGCACUGAUGAGAUUGAAGGAAAACAGAUGUUGUAAUGGAGUCUCGUGUGCUCCCGGGGUGAUGACCUUGGGGAUCUGGAAGCCAAAGAUGCAGCUAAGCCAAGGUCAGGUUAUUGUCCAAGCCUCGUGAAACCCACCCCAUGGGGUGCCUCCCUGGGGAGCCCAGGCUUCCCCCACGGCUGCUUCCUCCCACCCUAUGAAGUUCAUUCCAAAGGGAUGAGGGCAGGUGGAAAGCAGGUGAAACUACUAGCUGCCUACAGUGAGAAGCUUCACCUGUCCCCGAAGUCCAAAAAAGAUGCCCAGAAGCUUGCUAAUGCCACAGCCAAUGGAAGUCCUUGGUCAAAGGCCCUUCUGUGGAGGAAGGGGAAGCCAACAGACACCCUGCCCUGGGAGCAGAGGCGUCUUCUUCCUCCUGGACGGAGAGAGCAGCAUAGACGCGGUCUGCGUCCUAUGGAGUGUCCUUAGCUGCCCUCUCCAUGGAGACGCGGGGACCAGCUGAUGGUGGUUUGGAAAAAGGUGGUUUAUGUUCCAGCAACUGCUGUGGGGUGGGAGGUACGUUCAUUGGGCGAGAUUCCAUUUGGAACAGUGAAAAUCAGUGCUAUAGUGUUAUAAUUUGAACAUGUUUAUGUUUUCAAAUGACUUAAUUUUUAAGUGUUUAUGAUUUAUAAUUUUACAUCGAAAGGUUGUAAUUUUCAUUUCAUAUUACUUAUAGUAGUAGUCUCUGAACAGACAUGAUUAAUUUGUUGUUGUUGUUGGGGCUGCACCCGCAGUACAUGGAAGCUUCCAGGCUAGGGGUUGAAUCGGAGCUAUAGCUGCCGGCUUCUGCCACAGCCACAGCAUCGCAGGAUCCAAGCCACGUCUGCAACCUACGCCAUGGUUCUGGCAACACCGGAUCCCUAACCCACUGAGCAAGGUCAGGGAUUGAACCCGCAUCCUCACAGAUACUAGUCAGAUUUGUUUCCAUUGUGCCACGAAGGGAACUCUCUGAAAUGAUUAAUUUUUAUACAGUCAAAUCUUCUAUUUUAUUUUUUCUGUCUUUGGAGGGCUGCACCCACGGUAUGUGGAAGUUGCCAGGCUGGGGGUCGAAUUGGACCUGCAGCUGCCAACCUGCACCACAGCAACGCCAGAUCCAAGCAGCGUCUGUGACCUACACCACAGCUCACGGCAACUCCAGAUUCUUAACCCAGUGAGCGAGGCCAGGGAUGGAACCCACAUCCUCGCAGAUACUAGUCGGGUUCGUUACCACUGAUCCGUGAUGGGAACUCCAACAGUCAAAUCUUGUAAUCAUUUCCUUUCCUCACUAUUAUGUAUUUUUAAUAGACUAUUUUUUAAAGAGUGGCUUUCAGUUGUGACAGGAGAAUUGAGUGGAAUUUCCUGUAUACUUCCUGCCCCCACGAGAUGCAUGGCCUCCCUGCUAUCAAGUCCUGCACCAGAGUGGUGCAUUUGUUACAGUCAGUGAGCCUGCCUUGACCUAUUUUCAUCUGACGACCAGAGUCUGCACUAGGAGUCUCUCUUGGCGUACGUUCUGUGGACUUGGAUAGAUGCAUAAUGACGUGGACCCCCUAUUAUGGUCUCACAUAGAGUAGUUUCAAUGCUUUACAAAUCCUCUAUGCUCUGCAGAUUCGUCCCUUCUAACCCCCGCCCCCGCCCCGGGGGAACCACUGAUCUGUCUCUGUGUCCACACUUCUGCCUUUGCCAUAAUGACAGAGAGUGGGAAGCAGAGCACAGGCUUUUCAGAUUGUCUUCUUUCACCUGGAAAUAUGCAUUUAAGGCUCCUCCAUGGCUUUUCAUGGCUGACAGCUCGUUUCUUGUUAUUUCGGAGUAACAGUCCAUCAUGCGGAGGGACCGCGGCUUAUUUACCCGUUCACCUAUGCAAGGACAUUUUGAUGGCUUUCAAGUUUUGGCAGUUAGGAAUAAGGCUGCUAUAAACGGGUACGGGCCGGGUUUUGUCUGGAUAUAAAUGUCCAGGUCAUUGGGGUAAAUACCAAGGACAGUGCUUGCUGGCUUGUGUGUGCGGGGUAAGAGUGUGUUCAGUUUCGUAAAACGUCCAAACUGUCUUUCAGAGGGGCUGUGCCAUUUGGCAUGCCCACCAGCAGCGAAUGAGAGUUCCCGUGGCUCCCUGUCCUCACCGACGUUUGGCGCUGUCGCUGUUGGAUUUUGGCCAUCCUAAGGUGUGUGGUGGUAGCUCACUGAGGUUUUAAUUGGCCGUUCCCGCAUCAUAUGACGUGGAGCAUCUGUUCUGGUGCAGUGUCUUUUCAGAUCUUUUGUGCAUUUAUUAAUUGAGGUGUUCAUUUCCUCAUGGUCAAGUCUUAAAAGGUGUUUGUCUGUUUUGUAGAAGUUAAUCAGUUGUGUCUCUCGCGAAUAUUUUCUCCCAGUGUGUGGCCUGACUUCUCAUUCUCUCGACGUGUCUUGUGCAGGGCACCAGUUUUUAAUUUCGGUGAAGUCCAGGUUAUCAAUAAUUUAUUUCACGGAUCACGUCUCUGUGUUGGAGCUUCGCCGUGCUCAAGAUCACCUGAAUGUUCUCCUCUGUUGUCUUCUAGGGCUUUUAUAGUUUUGCAUUUUAUAUUUGGGGGUAUGAACCAUUUUGAGUUGCUUUUUAUGAGAGGUGUAAGGUCUAUGUCUAGAUGCAUUUUUUUGUGUGUGCGUGGGAAUGUCCAGUUGUUCCAGCACCAUUUGUCAAAAGAUAAUCUUUGCUUCUUUGCAUUUCCUCUGUGCCCUUAUUAAAGAUCUGUUGAAGAGUUCCUGUUGUGGCACAGUGUUUAACGAAUCCGACUAGGAACCAUGAGGUUGCGGGUUCGGUCCCUGCCCUUGCUCAGUGGGUCAAGGAUCCAGCGUUGCCAUGAGCUGGGUGUAGGUCGCAGACACGGCUCGGAUCCCGCGUGGCUGUGGCUCUGGCGUAGGCUGGCGGCUACAGCUCCGAUGAGACCCCUAGCCUGAGAACCUCCAUAUGCCGCGGGAGCGGCCCUAGAAAAGGCAGAAAGACCAAAAAAAAAA